AUUGAACGCUGGCGGAAUGCUUUACACAUGCAAGUCGAACGGCAGCACGGGGGCAACCCUGGUGGCGAGUGGCGAACGGGUGAGUAAUGUAUCGGAACGUGCCCAGUCGUGGGGGAUAACGUAGUGAAAAUUACGCUAAUACCGCAUACGAUCUACGGAUGAAAGCGGGGGAUCGCAAGACCUCGCGCGAUUGGAGCGGCCGAUAUCAGAUUAGGUAGUUGGUGGGGUAAAGGCUCACCAAGCCAACGAUCUGUACCUGGUCUGAGAGGACGACCAGCCAAAAUGGAACUGAGACACGGUCCAGACUCCUACGGGAGGCGGCAGUGUGGAAUUUUGGACAAUGGGCGAAAGCCUUAUCCAGCCAUUCCGCGUGCAGGAUGAAGGCCUUCGGGUUGUAAACUGCUUUUGGACGGAGCGAAAAGGCUCUCUCUAAUACAGGGGGCUCAUGACGGUACCGUAAGAAUAAGCACCGGCUAACUACGUGCCAGCCGCCGCCGUAAGAC
rnacentral:rRNA from 1 species